rnacentral:rRNA from 1 species
UACCGAGUUAUUCAACUCAUCAACCCUGUGAACAUACCUAAACGUUGCUUCGGCGGGAACAGACGGCCCCGUGAAACGGGCCGCCCCCGCCAGAGGACCCCUAACUCUGUUUCUAUAAUGUUUCUUCUGAGUAAAACAAGCAAAUAAAUUAAAACUUUCAACAACGGAUCUCUUGGCUCUGGCAUCGAUGAAGAACGCAGCGAAAUGCGAUAAGUAAUGUGAAUUGCAGAAUUCAGUGAAUCAUCGAAUCUUUGAACGCACAUUGCGCCCGCCAGUAUUCUGGCGGGCAUGCCUGUUCGAGCGUCAUUACAACCCUCAGGCCCCCGGGCCUGGCGUUGGGGAUCGGCGGAGCCCCCCGUGGGCACACGCCGUCCCCCAAAUACAGUGGCGGUCCCGCCGCAGCUUCCAUCGCGUAGUAGCUAACACCUCGCGACUGGAGAGCGGCGCGGCCACGCCGUAAAACACCCAACUCUUCUGAAGU